GACGAACGCUGGCGGCGUGCUUAACACAUGCCAGUCGAACGGAAAGGCCUCUUUCGGGGGGUACUCGAGUGGCGAACGGGUGAGUAACACGUGAGUAACCUGCCCUUGUCUUUGGGAUAACUUCAGGAAACUGGGGCUAAUACCGGAUAGGAGCUCCUGCUGCAUGGUGGGGGUUGGAAAGUUUCGGCGGUUGGGGAUGGGUUCGCGGGGUAUCGGCUUGUUGGUGGGGUAGUGGCUUACCAAGGCUUUGGCGGGUAGACGGCCUGAGGGGGUGACCGGCGGCAUUGGGACUGAGGGGCGGCCGAGACUCCUACGGGAGGGAGCAGGGGGGAAUAUUGCAGGAGGGGUGGAGGCCGGAUGCAGCAGCGCCGCGUGCGGGAUGACGGCCUUCGGGUUGUAAACCGCUUUCGCUCAUGACGAAGCUUUGUGUGACGGUAGUGGGUAAAGAAGCACCGGCUAACUACGUG
rnacentral:rRNA from 1 species